UCCACUGGCGCUGAAGUCGCCAAAACCAACACGGGAGUCCAGUGCUACAGAGUCGGCCUAAAGUCAGUCUAUAUAUCUUCCCACACCUGGAAGGUGGUGGCGGGCGGGGGGGCGCGAUGACUGCACGGCUCAGGAAGCCGUAUAAAAGUCAUUGUGUGUAUUCUGGCCUGGUCCAAUUAACACGGCCUUCCUUCAUUAGCCGCGCUGUUGAGACGGAGACCUCUGGAUCCUGAAGCCAGCAGGACGCUCCAGGGGGCGGUACUAAACAGAGGUUCUUUAUGGCGCCGUGGCAGGCCUCCCGUGUGAGAGGAUGUCUCCCAGGCUGCCCUGGCUGGGAGCGCAUACGUCUCACAUGAUGUCAGCCGUGCCGGUGUAGGACUCUGGCCCGGGGUUCACUACAGUCCUGCCUCUCAUUAUCCUCGUAUUUACGGGGGGAGCGCAUGCGACCUGGCAGAUGGGGCUGGGUCUGAUUACACGGACGAUAAGGCCCUUUCUGUGCCGUGUUCUGUUCAGUGUCUUACAACAUGCGUGGUUUGAUUGGCCGCACUAGUGUCCAGGGUAGGAGUUCACGGAGGAACACCCUUCAUGAUGACAAACUGUCGUAAUAUAAAUGAACAGCGCUCGCGUGCGUCCCAUUUGGUUGAAUUUAUCGAUAUGUUUUUUUUUGAAUGCGGAUACAAAUGAAUAGUGC